AGAGUUUGAUCCUGGCUCAGAACGAACGUUGGCGGCAGGCUUAACACAUGCAAGUCGGAGGUGAACCGGGACUUCGGUCCCGCGGAAACUGGCGCACGGGUGAGUAACGCGUGGGAAUCUACCCCGGGGUGGGGAAUAACCGCUGGAAACGGCGGCUAAUACCGCAUACGCCUUGAGAGGGAAAGCUUUAUGCGCCCUGGGAUGAGCCCGCGUCGGAUUAGCUUGUUGGUGAGGUAACGGCUCACCAAGGCUUCGAUCCGUAGCUGGUCUGAGAGGAUGAUCAGCCACACUGGGACUGAGACACGGCCCAGACUCCUACGGGAGGCAGCAGUGGGGAAUAUUGGACAAUGGGGGCAACCCUGAUCCAGCCAUGUCGCGUGCGUGAAGAGGGCCUUAGGGUUGUAAAGCGCUUUCAGUGGGGAAGAUGAUGACGGUACCCGCAGAAGAAGCCCCGGCUAACUCCGUGCCAGCAGCCGCGGUAAUACGGAGGGGGCAAACGUUGUUCGGAAUUACUGGGCGUAAAGGGCGCGUAGGCGGAUUAUCAAGUCAGAGGUGAAAGCCCUGGGCUCAACCUAGGAACUGCCUUUGAAACUGAUAGUCUUGAGUCCGAGAGAGGAUGGCGGAAUUCCCAGUGUAGAGGUGAAAUUCGUAGAUAUUGGGAAGAACACCAGUGGCGAAGGCGGCCAUCUGGCUCGGUAC
rnacentral:rRNA from 1 species